rnacentral:piRNA from 1 species
UNCCCCUAUGCCUACUUUUAUCUGUCAGU